UCGGUGCCUGUGAGCAGCGCCUGCCUCGGGGUCUGCAGCAGCCGCGGAACUGAGAGACCAGCCCGGCUCAGGGCCCAUGAAGGAGGAUCAGCUGUGCCUGGUGACACAGAGCAGCAUUUCCCUCUUCAGAAGCUCCUCACCUUUAAACAGAGGAUCCUGUGGGUGCUGAAAAAGAAAAG